GACGAACGCUGGCGGCGUGCCUAACACAUGCAAGUCGAACGAGAAUCGACGGACAGAGACUUCGGUCGAAGAGAGUUGAGGAAAGUGGCGAACGGGUGAGUAACGCGUGAGGAACCUACCUUUCAGUGGGGGACAACAGUUGGAAACGACUGCUAAUACCGCAUAAUGUUAUUUGGGGGCAUCCCCGAAUAACCAAAGAUUUAUUGCUGAAAGAUGGUCUCGCGUCUGAUUAGCUAGUUGGUGAGGUAACGGCUCACCAAGGCGACGAUCAGUAGCCGGCCUGAGAGGGUGAACGGCCACAUUGGGACUGAGACACGGCCCAAACUCCUACGGGAGGCAGCAGUGGGGAAUAUUGCACAAUGGGGGAAACCCUGAUGCAGCGACGCCGCGUGAGUGAAGAAGUAUUUCGGUAUGUAAAGCUCUAUCAGCAAGGAAGAAAAUGACGGUACUUGACUAAGAAGCCCCGGCUAACUACGUG
rnacentral:rRNA from 1 species